UUCUUUCUUUCUUUCUUUCUUUCUCUCUCUCUCUCUUUCUCUCUUUCUCUCUUUCUCUCUUUCUCUUUCUUUUUAGGGACUCACCUGUGGCUUAUGGAAGUUCCCAGGCUAGGGGUCUAAUUGGAGCUGCAGCUGCCAGCCUAUGCCAGUCAUAGCAACACCAGAUCCGAGCCACAUCUGCCAUCUACCCUGCAGCUCAUGGCAAUGCUGGAUCCUUAACCCACUGAGCGAGGCCAGGGAUCGAACCCACAUCCUCACAGAUACUAGUAGGAUUCUUAACCUGCUGAGCCACAAGGGGAACUCCCUGACUUUCUUUAUUAACACGAAUCUUUUGAUGUUCUGACUACCUGGUUUUUGCUGCAAAAACUCCUGUAUAUCCUGCCCCUACCCCUGACCUCCUUUCCUCUUUGGAACCGGGCUUGAAGUCCUCAGAAAGUCAUCCAAUCAAAGUUGUGUAUAUUUUUCAGUCGACAUCACCUCUGUGCCAAGCACUUUCUAAGGCUUCACAUCCAUUUACUCGUGUAACCUUACCCGCCAUUCUUCGAGGUUGGUGACAUUUUUGUUUUCAACUUAGGAGGACGGAACCGAAUCACCAAGACGUCCCCUCAUCUGGCCCCAAGCCACACAGCCAGAAUGAACAUGGCAUGAGGGCACACAACCUUCAGAGACAGCAUUAGGGAUCAGGAUGUGGGGAGCCACGGAGACAAAAAAAGCGUGGCAUUUACAGAGAACUGCCAGCCUCUCCUGAGCAUAGCGCAAAGGACAAAGGCCACAACACGUGGGUAUGUUUUGCUGUGGGAAAUGCUUUGUUGGUGGCCCACAGGGUGCUUUUUGAAAAACCAGAGACCAACAUUUGAAAAUGGGGAGAUUUGAUCUAAAAACCCAGCUUACCUGGGUUGGGUUGGAAGAUCAGGAUCUGGGACCACAGAGCUGUAUUCUCCUACAGCAAGAAUCAAGUUUGGGAUGGUUCUCUUUGUAGCCACCCCCACUCUUCCCAGUUCACUGUGGCCCCCACAACCCUGAUGUCUCCCCCGUCUGCUCUGAUCAGUACACUGAUAGUAUCUGCCUGGCGUGCGUGAUGGGGAAGGGAUUGAGGAGCCAGGAGUAGAGGGUUCUGAGUGGAGGGAGGGCAGUGGUGAGCAGAUUUCUGUUUCACAGAGAUCCCUCUGGCAGCUGUCUGGAAGAAGGAUGGAUGGAGCAUCGGCUUGGAAGUGAGAAGCCAAUCAGGAAAUACGGUACUGUCCAGGCAGGAUCCAAGCGGGGGGGAUUAGUUUGGCAGGGCUUCUCUUCUCUACUUUCUCCUGGAGGAUCCGGAUGUAAAUGGCACUUUGAAAGCAAGCAGGUUUUCACUGUGGAGUCCGAGAUCCACAGAGACCCUCCAAAGUAACUUAGAGCCAAACAGAAAAAUCAGGAAGAUGUGCUUGGGAGCUAACUUUCAGGGCUGAUUGGAAGGAAGAACCCAUGUCAUCUCCCACCAGGAGAGGAGACAGGGCUGAGCCCCAUGGAACCGCCAGUGAAAAAGCACAGAAGAAUGUUUUCACUUUACAAGUGCCAUGAACAGAACUCAGGGACAGUCAGCAGAUGGUGCAGUGGGCAAAGGCAUGCCAAUGGAGUGGGCAGGUAAGAAGAAGAAAAGGAAUUCAAGACCUGGGGGCUCAGUGAGGACGUUUCACUUGACAAGGGGCAGGUCACGGGAGCUGGGGUCACACAGGAUGAUUCGGGCCAUUCUUGGCUGUGUGUCACUGUGUUCAUCCCUGAACUUCUCUCUGGGUGUUUCCUCACUUUUAAAAUGAAGAUAAUGAUACUGGGCGUCUGGAAGGGCAGGUUGUACACUGCAACGUGACCGACAGUUGUGAGAGACAUGGUACUGUCGUGUUACUGUCAUUGCCGUUUCUUUUCUCAUAUUGAACCCAGGGCUGACCCCAACCCAAAAGAAGUCAGGCAAAGAGGGUCAAGCCCGCCAUCUUUCUUUUCCCCCUUCCCAAAGUUUCCCAGAUCCGUCGCUAUCCCAAGACCCUGUCUCAGGCUAUGAAAUUCACACGAAAAAUUCAGAAAGCUCCUCCCACUUCCUACUUUUAAAGCAUUCCUCAAAGAAUGAUUUUCUAAAAGCAGUGUUUCAGAUGGCUCUUUCUGGAGCUCUCAAAUUUUACCUAAUGCGCAUCUAGAUUAAGUCGAGCCAAAGACCUGGAUAAAAGCAUAAAUAACCUCAGCCAAUAAGCAGACGUUUCCAAGUUUUCAUACUGCUUGGCUACGUAUAGACCAGAGUUAACGAACACAUUUCAAUUCACACACCAGAUCUAAUGGCAUGAAGCACUGUUUAAGCUAAGAAUGAGUCUAUGAUCCCUGGCCUCGCUCAGUGGGUUAAGGAUCCGGUGUUGCUGUGAACUGUGGUGUAGGUCACAGACACAGCUCGGAUCCAGUGUUGCUGUGGUUCUGGCAUAGGGGGGUGGCUACAGCUCCAAUUUGACCCCUAGUUUGGGAACGUCCAUAUGCCAUGGGUGGGUCAAAUCGGAGCUGUAGCUGCUGGCCACAGACACAGCCACAGCCACAGGGAUCCAAGUCAUAUCUGCGACCUACACUACAGCUCACAGCAACGCCAGAUCUUUAACCCACUGAGCAAGGCCAGGGAUCGAACCCACAUCCUCAUGGAUCCUAGUGGGGUUCGUUAACUGCCGAGCCAUGAAGGGAACUCCAAAAGAACCACUUUUAAACACAAGCAUCAUCUUUCAAAAUGUUAAAUGCUCAUACAUGCAAAACAAUGCCACACCUAGAAAUCCAUCCUAAAAGUUACUAAACACAUAUGGCUAAAGACAGAUUUGCUGUGCUCUCCUUGUAACACGGGGAGCAGACUAAAUGUUGAAGAGAAGGAGAAAAUAAAUCAUGGCACACUUGUAUUUUUGGAAGACUGGGCAGACAGUAAUGAGAAUGACAUAAUCCACAUACACUGCCAUGGAGCGCCACUCACCAUUUAUUGGGAGGUGAAAAAAAAAAGGAAGCCUGUGUAAAACUAUGAGUACUAUAUAACUGAAAGGAAGCAAUUUACAGUCCACACGUAUAUAAGUAUAAUAUGCCAUUAUGAAUAUAAACAAAUAAGUAAAUAAAGAUUCAGACCAAUUCUGUAGCAGGACAUCCCAUAGGAGACCCACCACAAGUCCUAGGAUGUCCUCACGGGAGCAGGUCCAAAAUAGCCCAGUUUAGAGGCAGUAGAGUCUCGACACCUGGGUAUACAUCCAAGCUCUUCAACCAGCUGGCCAAGAGACCUUGGGCAAGUCACUAGCUUCCCCGUGCCUCGUGUUUCCUGAUCUGUAGAGUGCGGACACUCAUCAUACCUAUGCUUCAUAUGACUGACACAAGCAUUAGGUAAGUGAAUACCUAUCAAGGUUUAAAAUUAUACCUGGCACACAGCAAGGGCUCAAUAAAUAUUAUCACUUCUCAAAAAAAAAUUCAGAUUAAACUUCAGCUGUGGUGACAUCUGUAGGUUAGGCU
rnacentral:lncRNA from 1 species